rnacentral:rRNA from 1 species
GACGAACGCUGGCGGCGUGCUUAACACAUGCAAGUCGAACGGAAAGGCCCUGCUUUUGUGGGGUGCUCGAGUGGCGAACGGGUGAGUAACACGUGAGUAACCUGCCCUUGUCUUUGGGAUAACUUCAGGAAAAUGGGGCUAAUACCGGAUAGGAUCUCCUGCUGCAUGGUGGGGGUUGGAAAGUUUCGGCCGUUGGGGAUGGACUCGCGGGUUAUCAGCUUGUUGGUGGGGUAGGUGCUUACCAAGGCUUUGACGGGUAGCCGGCCUGUGAGGGUGACCGGCGUCCUGGGUCCUGCGGUACGCCCCAGACUGGUACGGUAGGCAGAGGUGGGGAAUCUUGCGCAGUGGGCGGACGCCUGAUACGGCGGCCUCCCGUGCGGAAUGCCCGCCUUUUGGUUAUAAACAGCUGUCGCCUGAGACGAAGCGGGAGUGACGGUACUGGAUAAAGAAGCACCGGCUAACUACGUG